rnacentral:rRNA from 1 species
AUUGAACGCUGGCGGCAGGCCUAACACAUGCAAGUCGAGCGGAUGAAGGGAGCUUGCUCCUGGAUUCAGCGGCGGACGGGUGAGUAAUGCCUAGGAAUCUGCCUGGUAGUGGGGGAUAACGUCCGGAAACGGGCGCUAAUACCGCAUACGUCCUGAGGGAGAAAGUGGGGGAUCUUCGGACCUCCCGCUAUCAGAUGAGCCUAGGUCGGAUUAGCUAGUUGGUGGGGUAAAGGCCUACCAAGGCGACGAUCCGUAACUGGUCUGAGAGGGUGAUCAGUCACACUGGAACUGAGACACGGUCCAGACUCCUACGGGAGGCAGCAGUGGGGAAUAUUGGACAAUGGGCGAAAGCCUGAUCCAGCCAUGCCGCGUGUGUGAAGAAGGUCUUCGGAUUGUAAAGCACUUUAAGUUGGGAGGAAGGGCAGUAAGUUAAUACCUUGCUGUUUUGACGUUACCAACAGAAUAAGCACCGGCUAACUUCGUG